GACGAACGCUGGCGGCGUGCCUAACACAUGCAAGUCGAACGGGGUCGGCCCCUUCGGGGACUGACUUAGUGGCGAACGGGUGAGUAACGCGUGAAGAACCUGCCUUUCAGUGGGGGACAACAGUUGGAAACGACUGCUAAUACCGCAUAAUGUAUUCGGACGGCAUCGUCUGGAUACCAAAGCUUUAUGUGCUGAAAGAUGGCUUCGCGUCUGAUUAGCUAGAUGGCGGGGUAACGGCCCACCAUGGCGACGAUCAGUAGCCGGUCUGAGAGGAUGAACGGCCACAUUGGGACUGAGAUACGGCCCAGACUCCUACGGGAGGCAGCAGUGGGGAAUAUUGGGCAAUGGGGGAAACCCUGACCCAGCAACGCCGCGUGAAGGAAGAAGGCCUUCGGGUUGUAAACUUCUUUACCUAGGGACGAAGAACGUGACGGUACCUGGAGAAAAAGACAACGGCUAACUACGUG
rnacentral:rRNA from 1 species